rnacentral:rRNA from 1 species
UACGUAGGAGGCGAGCGUUGUCCGGAAUUACUGGGCGUAAAGCGCGUGUAGGCGGUCUGACUAGUCUGCUGUGAAAGCGCCUGGCUUAACCGGGCGAGGUCGGCGGAAACUCUCAGACUGGAGGCCGGUAGAGGGGGGUGGAAUUCCCGGUGUAGUGGUGAAAUGCGUAGAGAUCGGGAGGAACACCUGUGGCGAAGGCGGCCCCCUGGGCCGCGCCUGACGCUGAGACGCGAAAGCGUGGGGAGCGAACAGG